rnacentral:snRNA from 1 species
AUACUAACCUGGCUGGGGAGAUACCUUGGUCAAGAGGGUGGUUUUCCAGGGCAAACUUUAUCCAUUGCACUCAAGAUGUGCUGACCCCAGUGAGUUUCCCACAUGGGGGAAACUCAACUGCAUGCUUUAUGGUAGUGGGGGAUCACAUUUGCACUCUUCCCCAA